rnacentral:rRNA from 1 species
ACGACUACAUAUCAGGCAUAUCAAUAAGCGGAGGAAAAGAAACUAACUAAGGAUUCCCUCAGUAACGGCGAGUGAAGCGGGAAGAGCUCAAAUUUGAAAUCUUCAAGGUUCUACCUUGACGAAUUGUAGUUUAAAGAAGUGUUUUCUGUUGAAGUUUUGGUAAAAGUUCUUUGGAAUAGGACAUCAUAGAGGGUGAGAAUCCCGUAUUUGACCAUUAUUUUCCAGCUGUGUGAUACACUUUCAAAGAGUCGGAUUGUUUGGGAAUGCAGUCCAAAAUGGGUGGUAAAUUUCAUCUAAAGCUAAAUAUUGGCGAGAGACCGAUAGCGAACAAGUACCGUGAGGGAAAGAUGAAAAGAACUUUGAAAAGAGAGUUAAACAGUACGUGAAAUUGUCAAAAGGGAAGCGUUUGACACCAGUGUUGUUUUCUCGAAAAUCAAUUAAAAAGAGUUGGAUUUUGUGUUGUAUUGACCUUAACAGCUUGCUUCACUCUUUUCCAGCUUUUUUUAAUGCACUUUUCGUUUAACAAGUCAACAUCAGUUUCUUUUGUUGUAAAAGGGUCAUUGGAAGGUGGCUUUCUCUUCGGAGAAAGUGUUUAUAGCCUUUGAUCUCUGCAAUCGGAGAGACUGAGGUCUGCAGCGUAGAUCCUUCGGGGUUAGAUACAUUUGUGCUAAGCUACAGCUUUUCAUAGACAACUUGUUGACUAUGUUUAGUCUUGUAACUUACCCGCUUAUGCUAUUUUACCUACGCUUAGGAUGUUGAGCGCAUGUCUCUCUCU